AAACCAACAGGGAUUGCCCUAGUAACGGCGAGUGAAGCGGCAACAGCUCAAAUUUGAAAUCUGGCGCAAGCCCGAGUUGUAAUUUGUAGAGGAUGCUUCUAGGCAGCGGCCGGUCUAAGUCUCUUGGAACAGGGCGUCACAGAGGGUGAGAAUCCCGUAUGUGACCGGCUGGCACCUUAUACGUAGCUCCUUCGACGAGUCGAGUUGUUUGGGAAUGCAGCUCUAAAUGGGAGGUAAAUUUCUUCUAAAGCUAAAUACCGGCCAGAGACCGAUAGCGCACAAGUAGAGUGAUCGAAAGAUGAAAAGCACUUUGGAAAGAGAGUUAAAAAGCACGUGAAAUUGUUGAAAGGGAAGCGCUUGCAACCAGACUUGUUGGCGGUGUUCCGCCGGUCUUCUGACCGGUCUACUCGCCGCCCGCAGGCCAGCGUCGUCUGGGGCCGCCGGAGAAAGGCGUUGGGAAUGUAGCUCCCUCGGGAGUGUUAUAGCCCAUCGCACAAUACGGCGCGCGCCGGGCGAGGUCCGCGCUUCGGCAAGGACGCUGGCGUAAUGGUCGUAAGCGGC
rnacentral:rRNA from 1 species